rnacentral:rRNA from 1 species
UGACCGCUGGCGGCGUGCCUAAUACAUGCAAGUCGAGCGAACAGACGAGGAGCUUGCUCCUCUGACGUUAGCGGCGGACGGGUGAGUAACACGUGGAUAACCUACCUAUAAGACUGGGAUAACUUCGGGAAACCGGGGCUAAUACCGGAUAAUAUAUUGAACCGCAUGGUUCAAUAGUGAAAGACGGUUUUGCUGUCACUUAUAGAUGGAUCCGCGCCGCAUUAGCUAGUUGGUAAGGUAACGGCUUACCAAGGCAACGAUGCGUAGCCGACCUGAGAGGGUGAUCGGCCACACUGGAACUGAGACACGGUCCAGACUCCUACGGGAGGCAGCAGUAGGGAAUCUUCCGCAGUGGGCGAAAGCCUGACGGAGCAACGCCGCGUGAGUGAUGAAGGUCUUCGGAUCGUAAAACUCUGUUAUUAGGGAAGAACAAAUGUGUAAGUAACUAUGCACGUCUUGACGGUACCUAAUCAGAAAGCCACGGCUAACUACGUG